AUCCAGCAGUAUCAGCCGGAGCCAGCGGCCUGGCAGGACCUGGCCUGGUGCAGCCUCGGUGACUCGAAACGGGGAAUAUAAGCUGUGGGAUACAUGGAGCGCGCAAAGAGUGAGGCUUGACGACCCUGGGGGGGCCAGAGCCAUGAGGGAGGCUCUCCGCCGCGCCAUCCGCGUGCUGGCCCCGAGCUUUGCACCGACGAACCGGUGUUCCAGCAGGGCCUCAGCGUGAUGACGUAGCCUGGGGGCAAAGACGCAGCCUCGC
rnacentral:lncRNA from 1 species